CCAAGGCUGGUCCGGCAUCAGGCACUGCUCUGAGAACUUGAGUUCCAUCGCCCGCGUUUUCACAUCUGUAAAAUGGAUGUAACAUCUCCUUGCCUGAUUCAUAGGUUACUUUGAAGGUCAAGUGAGGCAAAAAUGCGGGAAGGCACUUUGAAGACUUUGUAAAGCACCAUCAGAGCAUGUUACAGGAAUGGCUGUAGGGCAUUGCUGUCUGCACUACAGUAAUAUAGGAACACUCGGAUAGAUAUCACUGCUUCCAGUGAUAAGCAAUCUCCAGGAAUCUGCAGUGAGAUCGCUGGUUGACUGGAAAUGCUCUCUAUUUCUCCAGAGGGUAUCUGUCCUUGAAGAAGCCACUCAUUGCCUAGAAAAUAAAAAGUGCCUCUCAGAAAGGAUGUCUGUGUCAUAUUGAGGAAGGGCAUGUUUACAUGGACUUUCGGCUCAAAGAGGGGUUAGAAAUCAAGAGCCCGCAUCUGGAAAACACAGGACAUGCUUUCCUGCCAUCUUAAAGAGAAGACGCAGAGCACAGUCUCAUGACUUCUCAAUGACUUGGGUCAUUAGUACAAAAACUGGACCGCCUAUUGAGUGGUAAUGAAAUUCUACAUCUACUUUUUAGCUUUUUUCUUUCUUUUCACCUCAGGAUGGGCCAACAGACUCAGAGCACCUGCUUCUAUUAGGUCUCUCCAUCUCCCUUCCAGUACUGCUUCUAGUUCUCUCUUGGUUGAAAAAUCAAAUUUAAGAAAAAUAUGUCAGGUUGGGGAAGGAGAAAGGAAAAGGUGAAAAUCUAAAGAGUUAAUAAGUGAAGAGCUUUUAAACCAUUAUUUAAAAAUUCUCUUUAAAAUUUGUUGGCCUUCUUUGCUUACUUGGGAGAAUAUGUUUUAUUUCAUGGUUGGCUUUGCUAAUAGCAGAAUAGUGGGGAACUUUUUAUAUUUUAAAUCAAAACAGGAAAACAACUGUGCUAUUUUAAUGUCCAAUUCUAGAAAUAAACACAAAGUCUUUUUAGAUAUUUUUCAGAUAUAUC